GAUGAACGCUAGCGGCAUGCCUAAUACAUGCAAGUCGAACGGGAACCCGAUCAAAGCUUGCUUUGGUCUGUUGAGAGUGGCGCACGGGUACGUAACGCGUAAGCAACCUACCCUUGUCAGGGGGAUAGCGCGGCGAAAGUCGGAUUAAUACCGAAUGACAUCAUUGAAAGGCUUCUUUCGAUGAUCAAAGAUUUAUGGGACAAAUAUGGGCUCGCGUGACAUUAGCUAGUUGGUAAAGUAACGGCUUACCAAGGAUGCGCUGUCUAUGGGCUCUGAGAGGCGACCCCCCCAGAAUGGUAAUGCGACCCGGACCAGAACCGUACGGGAGGGAGCAGAAAGGAACACUGGUCAAGGGACGGAAGUCUGAACCAGCCGUGCCGGGGGUAGGAAGACGGGCAUAUGGGUUGUAAACUGCUUUUAUACGGGAACAAUCGUCGGUACGAGUACCGGUUUGAGUGUACCGAAAGAAUAAGGAACGGCUAACUACGUG
rnacentral:rRNA from 1 species